CGCACACACAGGCGCUGUGCUUGGCAGAGCUUUGUUUGCUGGCUGCUGGCUGGAGGUGACAGAGGCACAUGGCUGUAUGGGGCUGGGAGCCCGGAAAAUAACCAAGAUCUGAAGAGGUUUCAUGCUUUCUCAUCAUCUGCAAAACCAUUCUCUCAGCAGGGGAAUUUUCUGCUCUGCAGUUUCUCUGGUUUGGAAGUGAAGCAGUUUAACAAUUUGUCCUGGAGGAAACAGGCAAUUCAAACGGCGUGGCUACGAAAAAACGGAGUACAAUUUUGACUACUUAACUUAACCCUGGUUUGGUUUGAUUUUAUUAGCUUACAUCAUUUUGAUAGCAGAACCACAGCAGAAGGGGAAACGUUUGCAGAUAUGACUUGUAUAAUCAAGUGCUGCUGGUUCCACGU
ensembl:lncRNA